rnacentral:rRNA from 1 species
AUUGAACGCUGGCGGCAGGCCUAACACAUGCAAGUCGAGCGAGCGGCGGACGGGUGAGUAAUGUAUGGGGACUGUCCGAAAGCGAGGGAUAACUACGGGAUACGGUAGCUAAUACAACAUACUAUCGGAUAACCCAUAUGGGAUUAGCUGGUAGGUGAGGUAAUGGCUCACCUAGGCAACGAUCCCUAGCUGGUCUGCGAGGAUGAUCAGCCAAACUGGGACUGAGACACGGCCCAGACUCCUACGGAGGCAGCAGUGGGGAAUCUUGCGCAAUGGGCGCAAGCCUGAUGCAGCCAUGCCGCGUGUAUGAAGAAGGCCUUAGGGUUGUAAAGUACUGUCAGUCGGGAGGCGUUACCGACAGAAGAAGCACCGGCUAACUACGUGCCAGCAGCCGCGGUAAUUC